rnacentral:misc_RNA from 1 species
AGUGCAAAGAAUAUAAGAAAGAAAGAGAUAAGUUGCAGGUAGAGCAUGACAAUGUUCUCAAAUUAGCCAAGGAGCUGGCUGAGGAGCUUUCAAAAAAGCAAGUAGAAGAUGCCUCGUGCUCACAAAUGCAUCAGUUUCUUUCCGUGUUCUCUUUGUCAGAAAUUCAUGAAGCAACCUUCAACUUUGACCCAAUCUUAAGGAUUGGGAGAGAUGGUUAUGGGAACACUUACAGAGCUAAUCUUCGUCACACCCCAGUAGCUAUAAAGGUGCUGAACCCAGAGAGCAUGCAAGGGCGUCUGGAGUUUGAACAGGAGGUUGAAUUAUUAAGUAAAUUGAGGCAUCCGAACUUGGCCAUUCUCAUUGGAGCCUGCUCAGAAGCUUGUGCUCUAGUCUAUGAAUAUUUACCAAAUGGAACCCUUGAGGAUCGGCUCAGCUGCAAGGACAACACUCCACCCUUGCCUUGGCAAGCUCGAAUACGCAUAGCCACUGAGUUAUGCUCUGUCCUUAUGUUUCUUCAUUCCAGCAAGCCUCACAGCAUUGUACAUGGUGGUUUAAAGCCAGGAAAUAUUCUCCUUGAUGCUAACCUUGCAUGCAAACUCAGUGAC